rnacentral:tRNA from 1 species
UCCCUAGAGGACUAGUGGUUAGGCCAUGGUGCUCUCACCUCUGUGGCCUGGGUUUGAUUCCCGGCCAGGGAU